UACGGGGGGAGCAAGCGUUGUUCGGAUUUACUGGGCGUAAAGGGCGCGUAGGCGGCCACCGCAAGUCGACUGUGAAAUCUCCGGGCUUAACCCGGAAAGGUCAGCCGAUACUGCGGGGCUAGAGUGCAGAAGGGGCAACUGGAAUUCUCGGUGUAGCGGUGAAAUGCGUAGAUAUGGAGAGGAACACCUGCGGCGAAGGCGGGUUGCUGGGCUGACACUGACGCUGAGGCGCGAAAGCUAGGGGAGCGAACGGG
rnacentral:rRNA from 1 species